UACGAAGGGGGCUAGCGUUGCUCGGAAUUACUGGGCGUAAAGCGCACGUAGGCGGCUUUCUAAGUCGGGGGUGAAAUCCUGGAGCUCAACUCCAGAACUGCCUUCGAUACUGGAAAGCUCGAGUCCGGGAGAGGUGAGUGGAACUGCGAGUGUAGAGGUGAAAUUCGUAGAGAUCCGGAGGAACACCAGUGGCGAAGGCGGCAUCCUGGACCAAUACUGACACUGAGGAGCGAAAGCCAGGGGAGCAAACGGG
rnacentral:rRNA from 1 species